rnacentral:lncRNA from 1 species
UCAAAAUAGAAGUGGCAGAAAUGCAGAAAUAACGGAAAUGAUUACUUAGUUUGCCUCUUUUGCCAUACCACUCAGGAUGUAUUAGCAUUAGCAGUUAAAUAGGAUUUCUCUAUGAAUCUUUUUAUUCGUUCAGUUAUGUUUGCUCUCACUCCAUCUGUUAUUAUUAUUUCCAAAGAGAAAUGACCAGCAGAAAUGAUGCAAAACUGACUUUUGUAUAUGAAGCUUUAAGGAUGCUCUUUUCACUGCCCCAUUUUCUUCUGCACGCAUUUCCUCCCAGACAGCUGUUAUACAGCUAAAGGACAUGUCAGCCUAGACAUAUGGUAUAUUUUACUGAGUGCUGGAUUAGAAUGACAGUUGCCUAACAACUCAUCACCCUAUUCCACAUGUCCCUGCCCAAUUUCUGAUGAAACUGUCAGAUCUCUACAGUACUGCAGAGGGAGGACUGUGUAUCGUAUCUGUAUUGGCUGCAGGGACAGAAAUCCAUAUAGAAAUCCAGUUAAGCAUUUAGUAUUGUUUUGUUAUUGUCAAACAAAUGAUUAUAUUAAGGACAUUAUUCCACAGCAAAAAGAAAAGCUAGUAGUAGUAGUUCCUGUGUCCCUAUCCCCCUACCCAUUGAGCUACAUAUUAUUUCUAGAGCUGAUCUAAAGGCAGAAUAGUAGUCGGGUACAGUUAAAUAGGUGAGACAGGAUGGAUCUUGCCUGGGCUGUGAAGUGUGCGGUGCUGACUCAUCUCCCUCUGGAUCUCUUCCAGUGGGCCCCUACGGUUCUGCAGCUGGAACAGGAGUCCUUCCAGGUGCCAAGCCUCUUAAGCCACCAGCUGUUGGACCUGGCGCAGGAGGUGGACCCGUCCCUGGAACAUUAG